CUGUACUCUCUCUUUAUCCAUGGUUUCAGUUUCCAUGAUUUCAGUUAUUCAGUUUCCAAAGUCAACUGUGGUUGGAAAGCAGAUGAUCCUCCUUCUGAGGAAUCAUCUGAAUGUCAAUAGUUACCUAAUGCAAUGUCACAGAACCCGUGUCAUUCACCUCGCUUUGUCUCAACACAUAUUUUAUCGUCUCCUAUCAUGAGAAGGCAUGUGAACACAUUGUGCACCAAGUACUGAAAUCAGAGUGUUAGGAUCCUACAAUCUACAAUAGACUAGAUACUUAUUUGCGAAGAACACAAGGAACAGGGUCAAGAUACGGAAGCAACCCAAGCGUCUAUCAAUAGAUGAAUGGAUAAAGAAGAUGUGG